rnacentral:rRNA from 1 species
AACGAACGCUGGCGGCAGGCCUAACACAUGCAAGUCGAACGAACCUUCGGGUUAGUGGCGCACGGGUGCGUAACACGUGGGAAUAUACAUUUCGGUAAGGAAUAACACAGAGAAAUUUGUGCUAAUACCUUAUAAUGACUCCGGUCCAAAGAUUUAUCGCCGAAGGAUUAGCCCGCGCUAGAUUAGUUUGUUGGUGAGGUAAAAGCUCACCAAGACUACGAUCUAUAGCUGGUCUUAGAGGAUGAUCAGCCACACUGGAACUGAGACACGGUCCAGACUCCUACGGGAGGCAGCAGUGAGGAAUAUUGGACAAGUGGGGGCAACCCUGAUCCAGCCAUGCCGCGUGAAUGAAGAAGGCCUUAGGGUUAGUAAAAUUCUUUCAGAUGCGAAGAUAAUGACGGUACCAUCAGAAGAAGCUCCGGCUAAAAUUCGUG